GAUGAACGCUGGCGGCGUGCCUAAUACAUGCAAGUCGAGCGAACAGACGAGGAGCUUGCUCCUCUGACGUUAGCGGCGGACGGGUGAGUAACACGUGGAUAACCUACCUAUAAGACUGGGAUAACUUCGGGAAACCGGAGCUAAUACCGGAUAAUAUAUUGAACCGCAUGGUUCAAUAGUGAAAGACGGUUUUGCUGUCACUUAUAGAUGGAUCCGCGCCGCAUUAGCUAGUUGGUAAGGUAAUGGCUUACCAAGGCAACGAUGCGUAGCCGACCUGAGAGGGUGAUCGGCCACACUGGAACUGAGACACGGUCCAGACUCCUACGGGAGGCAGCAGUAGGGAAUCUUCCGCAGUGGGCGAAAGCCUGACGGAGCAACGCCGCGUGAGUGAUGAAGGUCUUCGGAUCGUAAAACUCUGUUAUUAGGGAAGAACAAAUGUGUAAGAACUAUGCACGUCUUGACGGUACCUAAUCAGAAAGCCACGGCUAACUACGUG
rnacentral:rRNA from 1 species